AGCAAUUUAUUAUCAAGUACUAUGGAGAAGUGAUAUCAUGGAAAGAAGCAAAGCAAAGAUCUCAAGCUUAUGAAAUUCAAGAAUGAGUAUCAACAGAGAGGGGGAAAAGUUCUAUUUUACUGUUUUGAUGUGCAGAAUGUUGUGUUGAAUCUGAUGGGGCUGCUGUUUGGAAGGAU